AUUGAACGCUGGCGGCAUGCUUUACACAUGCAAGUCGAACGGCAGCGCGGGCUUCGGCCUGGCGGCGAGUGGCGAACGGGUGAGUAAUGCAUCGGAACGUGCCCAGUAGUGGGGGAUAGCCCGGCGAAAGCCGGAUUAAUACCGCAUACGACCUGAGGGUGAAAGCGGGGGACCGAAAGGCCUCGCGCUAUUGGAGCGGCCGAUGUCGGAUUAGCUAGUUGGUGGGGUAAAGGCUUACCAAGGCGACGAUCCGUAGCUGGUCUGAGAGGACGACCAGCCACACUGGGACUGAGGCACGGCCCAGACUCCUACGGGAGGCAGCAGUGGGGAAUGUUGGACAAUGGGGGCAACCCUGAUCCAGCCAUGCCGCGGGCGGGAAGAAGGCCUUCGGGUUGUAAACCGCUUUUGUUCGGGAAGAAAUCCUCUGGGCUAAUACCCCGGGGGGAUGACGGUACCGGAAGAAUAAGCACCGGCUAACUACGUG
rnacentral:rRNA from 1 species